UACGGAGGGUGCAAGCGUUGUCCGGAUUUACUGGGUGUAAAGGGUGUGUAGGUGGAAUGACAAGUCAGUGGUGAAAGCCUGCGGCUCAACCGUAGAAUUGCCAUUGAUACUGUUGUUCUUGAGUACUGGAGAGGUUACUAGAAUUCGUGGUGUAGCGGUGAAAUGCGUAGAUAUCACGAGGAAUACCAGAGGCGUAGGCGGGUAACUGGACAGAUACUGACACUGAGGCACGAAAGCGUGGGGAGCAAACAGG
rnacentral:rRNA from 1 species